rnacentral:rRNA from 1 species
AUUGAACGCUGGCGGCAGGCCUAACACAUGCAAGUCGAACGAGUGGCGGACGGGUGAGUAAUGUCUGGGAAACUGCCUGAUGGAGGGGGAUAACUACUGGAAACGGUAGCUAAUACCGCAUACCAUCGGAUGUGCCCAGAUGGGAUUAGCUAGUAGGUGGGGUAAAGGCUCACCUAGGCGACGAUCUCUAGCUGGUCUGAGAGGAUGACCAGCAAAACUGGAACUGAGACACGGUCCAGAGUCCUACGGGAGGCAGCAGUGGUGAAUAUUGCACAAUGGGCGCAAGCCUGAUGCAGCCAUGCCGCGUGUGGGAAGAAGGCCUUCGGGUUGUAAAGCACUUUCAGCGGGGAGGCGUUACCCGCAGAAGAAGCACCGGCUAACGCCGGGCCAGCCGCCGCGGUAAUUG